CGGAUUAGAUACCCUGGUAGUCCACGCUGUAAACGAUGAUUACUAGGUGUUGGUCCCAUAGGGAUCAGUGCCGCAGCAAACGCAUUAAGUAAUCCACCUGGGGAGUACGAUCGCAAGGUUGAAACUCAAAGGAAUUGAUGGGGGCCCGCACAAGCAGUGGAGCAUGUGGUUUAAUUCGAUGCAACGCGAAGAACCUUACCUAGGCUUGAAAGGCAAGCGACCGGGUGUGAAAGCACCCUUCCAGCAAUGGCGCUUGUACAGGUGCUGCAUGGCUGUCGUCAGCUCGUGCCGUGAGGUGUUGGGUUAAGUCCCGCAACGAGCGCAACCCUUACUAUUAGUUGCCAUCAGGUUAAGCUGGGCACUCUAAUAGGACUGCCUACGCAAGUAGUGAGGAAGGUGGGGAUGACGUCAAGUCCGCAUGGCCCUUACGCCUAGGGCUACACACGUGCUACAAUGGAUGUUACAAUGGGUUGCCAAACCGCAAGGUGGAGCCAAUCCCAUAAAGGCAUCCUCAGUUCGGAUUGGAGUCUGAAACUCGACUCCAUGAAGUUGGAAUUGCUAGUAAUCGCGCAUCAGCAUGGCGCGGUGAAUACGUUCCCGGGCCUUGUACACACCGCCCGUCAAGCCAUGGAAGCCGGGGGUACCCGAAGUCAGUGUCCUAACCGCAAGGAGGGAACUGCCUAAGGUAAAACCGGUGACUGGGGCUAAGUCGUAACAAG
rnacentral:rRNA from 1 species